GCGGGCGGCGCCCGGCUGGGGUGGGCGAAGCUGCCGAGCGCGGGGGAUCCGUGCGGGGACAGGCGGAGAUGGAGCCGUGGGGGAUGGAUGACGGAAACUCGCAGAGCAGGUCGGAACGCAUCAAAGUACGAGUUUGGUCCGUUGUUCAAAAUUUUAGCAUCAUUAUCACAUUUCUGUGGCUAAGAGGAGAAGAGACAGGAGCCAGUGGACAUCCCUCCCUGCACGAGCAUGGAAGGCAUUUGUAAUUCACACAGCCUUAGAAAUCCCAUGGCUGAUGUAUUGCUGCUUCAAAAUCUAUAUUCACAAAAUGCAAGUUUGGAGAAAUGCCAGUUCCACUGUCAUGUUACAACCUGGACUUGCCAGAGCUGGGAAUGGCAGAUUUGGUGUCAUCAGCAGUGCUUCAGCACAUCUACAGCUGGGAAGAAAUGUUUGGAUGUAUUUGUGACAGAAGAGAAAAGCAGCAAUUACUGACAGGGAGUCUCUGAGGCACAUCCAAGUGCAUCAUCACAUGAAG